UGGGCGAAAGCCUGACCGCGCGACGCCGCGUGAAGGAUGAAGCCCUUCGGGGUGUAAACUUCUUUUAUCCCCGCACAUGCGGGGUUGAAUAAGCGUCUACUAACUACGUGCCAGCAGUCGCGGUAAUACGUAGGACGCAAGCGUUAUCCGGAUUUAUUGGGCGUAAAGGGUCGCGUAGGCGGUCCGAUGCAUCUCAUCUUAAAUAGCUCCGCUUAACGGAGUCCCGGAUGAGAGAUGAUCGGACUUGAGGUUUGGAGGGGUUUCUGGAACUUCCGGUGUAGCAGUGAAAUGCGUUGAUAUCGGAAGGAACACCGAGAGCGUAGGCAGGAAACCAAUCAAUACCUGACGCUGAGGCACGAAAGCUAGGGGAGAGAAGCAGAUUAGAGACCUGCGUAUUCCUAGCUGUAAACGCAUGAGUGCUAGUUGUCCGGCCGUAAGGCUGGAUGACGCAAGUUAACACGUUAAGCACUCCGCCUGGGGAGUACGGCCGCAAGGCUAAAACUCAAAGGAAUUGGCGGGGACCCGCACAACCGGUGGAGCAUGUGGU
rnacentral:rRNA from 1 species